rnacentral:rRNA from 1 species
AUGAACGCUGGCGGCGUGCCUAAUCCAUGCAAGUCGAGCGAACAGAUCAGGAGCUUGCUCCUUUGACGUUAGCGGCGGACGGGUGAGUAACACGUGGGUAACCUACCUAUAAGACUGGGAUAACUUCGGGAAACCGGAGCUAAUACCGGAUAAUAUUUCGAACCGCAUGGUUCGAUAGUGAAAGAUGGUUUUGCUAUCACUUAUAGAUGGACCCGCGCCGUAUUAGCUAGUUGGUAAGGUAACGGCUUACCAAGGCGACGAUACGUAGCCGACCUGAGAGGGUGAUCGGCCACACUGGAACUGAGACACGGUCCAGACUCCUACGGGAGGCAGCAGUAGGGAAUCUUCCGCAAUGGGCGAAAGCCUGACGGAGCAACGCCGCGUGAGUGAUGAAGGUCUUCGGAUCGUAAAACUCUGUUAUUAGGGAAGAACAUACGUGUAAGUAACUGUGCACGUCUUGACGGUACCUAAUCAGAAAGCCACGGCUAACUACGUG